CAACAUUACACACAUUGCCUCCCACAAGAAACUAAACUACAAAUCUCAGUUAUAUCUUCUUUGGCUUCAAUUGGAGGAUGAAGACGUUCUUCGCUUUCCUCUUUCUUUUCUUACUUCUCUCGUUCUCUAACACAAUGGCAAGAAAAAUUCGAAGUGAUUAUCAGAAAGAAGAAAUGAAAGAUGAUUGUGAUACAUUGAAAAAUUUAAAUAAAGAAGAGAAAUUCUUUGUUAAGAAUUUUGAGCCGGAGUUAGAUCUUUCAAUCUAUCAUGACGAUCAUGACGUUGACGUUAAAAAAGAAAAGUCAUUUAACAGCUUCAAGUCAAAAUCAGAUGUUCCAAUCUAUUAUGGUGAUCUUACUAUUUAUCAUCAUACAAAUGAUUUUGGAUCAAAGUCAUAUGCUACAAUAUAUCACGAUGAUGAUCUGAGUUUAAAACAAGAGAAAACGUUUGUGAAUGACUUUGAAACAAGCUCCGAUGCUUCUAUUUAUCAGGGAUGAGGGGAAGAUGAAA